UGGGAGGUGGACUGUCAGGGCCAAUUGUCAAAGGGUCGCCGUGAGGCACGCUACAGCAGCAUGAAGCUUCUCCAUUGGCUCCUGGUGGUGAUCGUUCUGUUAGGAACGCUGUCAUUGGGCGGCGCCGACCCGGGUCACCACCACAGGCCGUGCCGCCAGCGGUGUCCGCGCGGCUGGCGCUACUGCCACUCGCGCUACUCGAACGCGCGCUGCUGCCGGCGGCGCCACCGCGGCAGGUGGAAGUACCACUGGGUGCGCUGCUAGGCGCCGCGUCCACGGCACGCUGAAAAUGGGUCCAUCGAGCACGUCAGAACUGGUACAACGGAGAGGACAUGUCUGCCAAC